ACGGACUCAUCAUUCCAGCCAAUCAGCAGCAGACCCUCCCUCCCAGACCCUUCCACCUCCUGGACAGCUCACUUAGAAUGCAGCUUCACAAUCAAUGUAAAAUGGAUGCUGUCCAGGAGGUGGGAGGGUCUGGGAGGGAGGGUCUGCUGCUGAUUGGCUGGGAUGAUGAGUCCG
rnacentral:miRNA from 1 species